rnacentral:rRNA from 1 species
AGCGAACGCUGGCGGCAUGCUUAACACAUGCAAGUCGAACGGGAAGGCCCUGCUUUUGGCGGGGGCUCGGGGGGCAAACGGGUGAGAAGCACGUGGGUAACCUGCACUAGACUGGGGAAUAGCGGCUAAUAACGCAUGCUAAUACCGGGUCGAAGCUCCUGCUCCCCGUGGGGGCAGGGUGCGUUCGGGCGGUUGGGUAUGGACGCGCGGCCUAUCCGCUUGUUGGUGGGGUAGUGGCUUUCCAAGGCUUUGAAGGGUCGCGGGCCUGAGAGGGGGACCGGCCAAAUCGGGAUGGAGAUACGGCCCAGACUCGAACGGGAGGCAGCAGUGGGGAAGAUUGCACAAGGGGCGGAAGGCUGGUGCAGCCACGCCGUGUGGGGGAGGACGGCAUGCGGGUUGGAAUCUGCAUCCGUCUGUGACGAGGCGUGAGUGACGGUAAUGGGUGAAGAAGCACCGGCUAACUACGUG